rnacentral:rRNA from 1 species
UACGUAUGGUGCGAGCGUUAAUCGGAAUUACUGGGCGUAAAGCGUGCGUAGGCGGUUCGUUAAGUCAGCUGUGAAAGCCCCGGGCUCAACCUGGGAACUGCGGUUGAAACUGGCGAACUAGAAUCUGGCAGAGGGGGGUGGAAUUCCACGUGUAGCAGUGAAAUGCGUAGAGAUGUGGAGGAACACCGAUGGCGAAGGCAGCCCCCUGGGCUGAGAUUGACGCUCAGGCACGAAAGCGUGGGGAGCAAACAGG